UACGUAGGGUGCAAGCGUUAAUCGGAAUUACUGGGCGUAAAGCGUGCGCAGGCGGUUAUGUAAGACAGGUGUGAAAUCCCCAGGCUUAACCUGGGAACUGCAUUUGUGACUGCAUAGCUAGAGUACGGCAGAGGGGGAUGGAAUUCCGCGUGUAGCAGUGAAAUGCGUAGAUAUCGGGAGGAACACCAGUGGCGAAGGCGACUACCUGGCCUGUUCUUGACGCUGAGGCGCGAAAGCUAGGGGAGCAAACGGG
rnacentral:rRNA from 1 species